GAUGAACGCUGGCGGCGUGCUUAAUACAUGCAAGUCGAACGAUGAAGCCCAGCUUGCGGUGUGCAUUAGUGGCGAACGGGUGGGUAACACGUGAGUGACCUGCCCUUCACUCUGAGUUAAGUCACUUAGACUGGGUGUAACUCAUGCUAGGAGCUAUAACGACAUGGAUGGUGCUGUAAUGAUUUAUCGGUUUUGGAUGGCCUCGCGGCGUAUCAGCUUGUUGGUGAGGUAAUGGCUCACCAAGGCGACGACGGGUAGCCGGCCUGAGAGGGUGACCGGCCACACUGGGACUGAGACACGGCCCAGACUCCUACGGGAGGCAGCAGUGGGGAAUAUUGCACAAUGGGCGCAAGCCUGAUGCAGCGACGCCGCGUGAGGGAUGACGGCCUUCGGGUUGUAAACCUCUUUCAGUAGGGAAGAAGCGAAAGUGACGGUACCUGCAGAAGAAGCACCGGCUAACUACGUG
rnacentral:rRNA from 1 species